UGGGGAAUCUUGCACAAUGGGGGAAACCCUGAUGCAGCGACGCCGCGUGAGCGAAGAAGCCUUUCGGGGUGUAAAGCUCUUACGCCAGGGACGAUAAUGACGGUACCUGGAGAAGCAGCUGCGGCUAACUACGUGCCAGCAGCCGCGGUAAUAUGUAGGCAGCAAGCGUUGUUCGGAAUUACUGGGCGUAAAGGGUGCGUAGGCGGCGCCUUAAGUUUGGUGUGAAAUCUCCCGGCUCAACCGGGAGGGUGCACUGAAAACUGGGGCGCUCGAAUGUGGGAGAGGAAAGCGGAAUUCCUAGUGUAGCGGUGAAAUGCGUAGAGAUCAGGAGGAACACCCGCGGUGUAGACGGCUUUCUGGACCAUGACUGACGCUGAGGCACGAAGGCGUGGGGAGCAAACA
rnacentral:rRNA from 1 species